UAAAUAAACUAUAUGUAGUUUGAGGAGAAAAGACAAGCCAAGUGAAAAUCUCAAUAAAACCCAAAAGUCUACCGGCGCUUCAAGAGGCCUUAAGAUUAAAAUAUCGGAACUAGAGGGUGAACUACAACGAAUGAAAAAUAAAUUCAAUAAAUUAAGAUUGAAAUCUGAAAGUACGAUGUAAAAGGCAAAUGCUGGAAAGAUUCUAGUGGUCCAAGAAUUGGAUUUAAAUUAUUUCGACGAUUCGUUGGGCACGAGGAGUUACGUUCACAUGGAAAGGCUGAUUACCAUCAUAUAAAUGAAGAUGAAAUGAGCCACGACACAACCUGACGACAUCGGCAAAUAUUUUCUCUGAGGCUAUGAAAUAUGAAAAAAAAUCCAAGAAAUCCGAAAAAAGUACAAGAUAAAAUCACAAUAAAGAAGAAAACAUCAUUACCAAGAAACCGUAUUCAAAAGUUCUACCAAAAAGGCUGAGGACUGGAAUGUUCCCGUUUGAGUUCCACAUUUCUAUCUCUGUA